rnacentral:rRNA from 1 species
UACGAAGGGGGCUAGCGUUGCUCGGAAUCACUGGGCGUAAAGGGUGCGUAGGCGGGUCUUUUAAGUCAGGGGUGAAAUCCUGGAGCUCAACUCCAGAACUGCCUUUGAUACUGAGAUCUUGAGUUCGGGAGAGGUGAGUGGAACUGCGAGUGUAGAGGUGAAAUUCGUAGAUAUUCGCAAGAACACCAGUGGCGAAGGCGGCUCACUGGCCCGAUACUGACGCUGAGGCACGAAAGCCAGGGGAGCGAACGGGG